AAACUCAUCACAUGCAUUAAUCCAUGAUAAUGGUUUCUCUUCACCACAAUAUGAGUGGCUAAUAUUGCCUACAUAUAUUCCACCACCAAGCAAGGGUACUUCUCCAUGCUUCACAAGUCUUCUCAAUGUACUUCUCCUAUACACCAAUCACAAGAGCAACAAUAUGCAAGGCACAAAACACAGAGUUAACUUAAGAAUAGGAGACAUCGGGCAAGCAAUACCUAGACUCGAGAGAAUAUCUGGUGCUCACGAGGGGUGAGCAACGUGAACAUUCUAUGCUAAACAUUCUUUGUAAUAGUAAUUAGUGGUCGUAACUCAAGAUGCAAGAAGUGUAGAAUUACCCGCUAUAACUCACCGCGAAGCAACCCCAUUAAGCAUCCCUCAGCCGGCUGCAUCGUCUCUAGCGGGCUCAAGUGGCUACUCGGCUUUCUCUAGCUGGCAUCAUGCAUAACCUACGUUACAGGAACAUAUUCGCCUCUCUGCCUGUAAGGGGAGUCCUCAGAACAUCACAGUCGGCUGUAUCUAACCCUUGACACUUUCUCGGCGAUUCUUGAUGCU
rnacentral:lncRNA from 1 species